rnacentral:rRNA from 1 species
UACGUAGGGGGCGAGCGUUGUCCGAAGUUACUGGGCGUAAAGAGCGCGUAGGCGGGCUUCUAAGUGAGAGGUGAAAGGUUCGGGCUCAACCCGGAGAGUGCCUUUCAUACUGGAAGCCUUGAGUGCGGGAGAGGCAAGUGGAAUGGUCGGUGUAGCGGUGAAAUGCGUAGAUAUCGAUCGGAACACCCGUGGCGAAGGCGGCUUGCUGGCUCGCAACUGACGCUGAGGCGCGAAAGCUAGGGGAGCAAACAGG